rnacentral:tRNA from 1 species
UGUAAAUAUAGUUUAACAAAAACACUAGAUUGUGAAUCUAGAGACAGAAGCUCAACACUUCUUAUUUACC